rnacentral:rRNA from 1 species
UACGUAGGUGGCAAGCGUUGUCCGGAAUUAUUGGGCGUAAAGAGCGUGUAGGCGGCCAUGCAGGUCCGUUGUGAAAACUCGAGGCUCAACCUCGAGACGCCGAUGGAAACCGCAUGGCUAGAGUCCGGAAGAGGAGAGUGGAAUUCCCGGUGUAGCGGUGAAAUGCGCAGAUAUCGGGAAGAACACCCGUGGCUAAGGCGGCUCUCUAGUACGGUACUGACGCUGAGACGCGAAAGCGUGGGGAGCGAACAGG